rnacentral:rRNA from 1 species
AGUGAACGCUGGCGGUAGGCCUAACACAUGCAAGUCGAACGGCAGCACAGUAAGAGCUUGCUCUUACGGGUGGCGAGUGGCGGACGGGUGAGGAAUACAUCGGAAUCUACUUUUUCGUGGGGGAUAACGUAGGGAAACUUACGCUAAUACCGCAUACGACCUACGGGUGAAAGCAGGGGAUCUUCGGACCUUGCGCGAUUGAAUGAGCCGAUGUCGGAUUAGAUAGUUGGCGGGGUAAAGGCCCACCAAGGCGACGAUCCGUAGCUGGUCUGAGAGGAUGGUAGGCCACACUGGAACGGAGACAGGGUCAAGGCUCCUACGGGAGGCAGCAGUGGGGAAUAUUGGGCAAUGGGCGCAAGCCUGAUCCAGCCAGCCCGCGUGGGUGAAGAAGGCGUUCGGGUUGUAAAGCCCUUUUGUGGGGAAAGAACAGCAGCAGGUUGAUACCCCGCUGUUCUGACGGUACCCAAAGAAUAAGCACCGGCUAACUUCGUG